rnacentral:rRNA from 1 species
GAUGAACGCUGGCGGCGUGCCUAAUACAUGCAAGUCGAGCGAACAGACGAGGAGCUUGCUCCUCUGACGUUAGCGGCGGACGGGUGAGUAACACGUGGAUAACCUACCUAUAAGACUGGGAUAACUUCGGGGAACCGGAGCUAAUACCGGAUAAUAUAUUGAACCGCAUGGUUCAAUAGUGAAAGACGGUUUUGCUGUCACUUAUAGAUGGAUCCGCGCCGCAUUAGCUAGUUGGUAAGGUAACGGCUUACCAAGGCAACGAUGCGUAGCCGACAUGAGAGGGUGAUCGGCCACACUGGAACUGAGACACGGUCCAGACUCCUACGGGAGGCAGCAGUAGGGAAUCUUCCGCAAUGGGCGAAAGCCUGACGGAGCAACGCCGCGUGAGUGAUGAAGGUCUUCGGAUCGUAAAACUCUGUUAUUAGGGAAGAACAAAUGUGUAAGUAACUAUGCACGUCUUGACGGUACCUAAUCAGAAAGCCACGGCUAACUACGUG